GGCGACAACGGCAAACCUGGCGUAAGCCAGGGGCGCAAAGCCAUGACCCCCGGGUGCCGGGGGCGUCAGGCUACCGAAU
rfam:Elusimicrobia bacterium RIFOXYD12_FTLL_66_9 rifoxyd3_full_scaffold_5964, whole genome shotgun sequence.